AUACGGAGGGUGCGAGCGUUAUUCGGAAUUACUGGGCGUAAAGCGCGUGUAGGCGGGGGUGCAAGUCUGAUGUGAAAGCCCCGGGCUUAACCUGGGAAGUGCAUUGGAAACUGCAUUUCUUGAGUGCUGGAGAGGAAGGGGGAAUUCCCGGUGUAGAGGUGAAAUUCGUAGAGAUCGGGAGGAAUACCAGUGGCGAAGGCGCCCUUCUGGACGGCAACUGACGCUGAGACGCGAAAGCGUGGGGAGCAAACAGGAUUAGAUACCCUGGUAGUCCACGCUGUAAACGAUGAGAACUAGGUGUAGCGGGUACUCAUUCCUGCUGUGCCGCAGCUAACGCGCUAAGUUCUCCGCCUGGGGAUUACGGUCGCAAGACUAAA
rnacentral:rRNA from 1 species